UUGGAGGGCAAGUCUGGUGCCAGCAGCCGCGGUAAUUCCAGCUCCAAUAGCGUAUAUUAAAGUUGUUGCAGUUAAAAAGCUCGUAGUUGAAUUUCGGGAUUCAUCCGUUGGUCGGGCUUCACGGUCCGCACUGGUGUGAUGGGUUCCUACCUUCUGAAUAACCGGCAUGCCAUUAAUUUGGUGCGCCGGGGAAGCAGAACUAUUACCUUGAAAAAAUUAGAGUGCUUAAAGCAGGCAAGUGCCUGAAUAGGUUAGCAUGGAAUAAUAAAAUAGGACGGCAUGGUUCUAUUUUGUUGGUUUCUAGGAUCACCGUAAUGAUUAAUAGGGAUAGUUGGGGGCAUUAGUAUUCAAUUGUCAGAGGUGAAAUUCUUGGAUUUAUUGAAGACUAACUUCUGCGAAAGCAUUUGCCAAGGAUGUUUUCAUUAAUCAAGAACGAAAGUUAGGGGAUCGAAGACGAUCAGAUACCGUCGUAGUCUUAACCAUAAACUAUGCCGACUAGGGAUCAGACGAUGUUAAUUUUUUAAUGACUCGUUCGGCGCCUUACGGGAAAC
rnacentral:rRNA from 1 species